AUUGCUUGAAGGCAGACAAAGAACAGCUUCUCCUCACCCAGGAGAGCAGGUGCUGGAACAGCCCAGCACGGGGGCUGCCCUGAAGCUGGGCAUCUUGGACUGGGGGCACUCUGCAGCCUGUCACAGGGGUGACAGCUAUCCCUGCACACUUCCUCAUCCCUGUGGCUGAUGCCAAACACCUCCUGCUCUGGAGCUGUUUGCUUUCAAUUUGCAGUUGGUUCACCAGAAGCAUUUUUUUGGUUUUGCACCAGCUUUCUCAGGCAGCCUGGUACAUUGGGCAGGGGUUUUUAUCCAGUCACUUUUUUAUUAUAUAAUGGACUUGGGGUUUUUUUCUUUGCUUUGGUAUAAAUGAAAGGUGGUUUGCUAUUCUUAAUGUAUGUGGCUGCCCAUAGAUCAAACACUGUAACCUGCACCCUCCAGCACUGCACUGCUUGGGACUGAGUUACAUAGUAGAAACUUUGAUCAGAGAAGUUUCCAAUUUCCAAGAAAUGAAAUUAAAGCCAAACAAAUUUUUAUCUCCUCAAAAUGAAUAGAAAUACCAGCUGCUUACUCCACUGAUUACCUCAUUAUUUGAUACUCAUACGCCUGCUCAGAGGAACACGGCUAUAGCAGUAUGCUUCAGUUUGCCUCUCUAACUUUCAAAUUCACAAUGAAUACAGAGUACAAAAACCUACUGGCAGGGUGUAGAUAAGCGUGUCUGUGUAAGGAUUUUGAGAAUUUUAUUUUUACAAGAUGUUAAUUUCCUCCUCAGACAAGCAAAGACAUGAUAUCAUUUGUAUUGGCCUAAGAAAAAAUAAUUCUAAGUAGACAGACAUGCCAACAUGGUGACAGCUCAAUUCACAAAUGUUUGUAAAAUUAGUGUGCAAGAUACCGAACUACAUUAUUAGGGGGAAAAAAAGUUAAUUCCUUCUCCACAAGCAAGAGAUGCUUAAACUCUGCCCUAAAUGAAUCCAAACUUAGUAUGAUGUCCCAGGUUCCAAAUUCAACUCACAAAUUGCCAAAAGAGCACACCAGAAGCAGAAUCACUGAAGGUGAUAGCAAAAGAUCUCUCAUUUCUGUUAAAAAAUGGUGAGUUCAGGGCAGCUACUUAUCUUUCUACAUUUUUUUCCAUAGCUCUGUCCUAAGUUAGACCUACCGACUUCUGUUUGUCACUUUUUAUUUGAAGUGAGCUUUUUUUCCUGGUGUUGGCAUCUGAGGACAUUUUAACUCUUGCAAAUGAGUGGUCAUCUCAGCCUCUUGGAAGGGAGUCUUCGAAGACUGAUGCCAUUAGUGCAGGAUAAUUUUUAGGCUAUUCAUUCUUUAAUGGACUAUGAAAUAAUUGGCUAUUUUGGUGUUGCCCAGCAGGGUUUCUGGCUUGGCCCAGUGUUGCUCCCUCAAUGGCUGCCAUGCCUGCACCCCACAAAUGCUUGGAAGAACAGACUUUCUUCACUGACAAAAAAAAAAUGCCAUUCAAACCAGCUGUUUUUCUGUAAAGAAAGCUCACUGUUCUGGGCAGUGAAAACACAGCCUCGUUGCAAUACCACCCUCUCCCCAGGGGAACAAUGCCACUGCAAGAGCCAGCCAGGCAGUAGGAAGGUUGUGCUGUCACAGAUAGGAGCAGCCCAGUGGCAGGGGACUGUGGUGACUCCUAUGGCCACCUGAGCUCUCUGUGGCAAGGCACAUUCUGGGGAGAAGACAGCAGGAGGAGAGCAGCAGGGAGGCAGUCUGUGAUAAGAUGCUGAAAAUAUUCAGUGAGGAAAGUGUCUCAGAGACAGCCUUACUGCUCCCUCUGAAGUCCUUCUGGACUUCUGGGAACAGAACAUGACAAGAUUAAGAGUGCUUUUAGCAAAUCCAACACUGAAGGAUGCUAUUUAGCACCAGGAGUUAAAACAGAAAUCCUCUGCAGAUGGGAGCUGCAGGUAUGAAAUUCAGAACAUUUUCAAGGUUUGUUGGCAGUGCAAAUGGCAAGUUACUGUGGACUAGAUGAAGUGAUGCUGCCACAAGUGGGAAGAGACAGAUGAGGAGGCAACCACAGCUCUCAGGGUGCAGACGGAGGCACUCCACUGCAGCACAGGACAGCUGUAUUUUGUUCAGUCCAAAAUUGCUGGUAAGUCAUCCCGAGUCACUGCUGAGUGAAAUAAAGCUGAACUGAUU